rnacentral:rRNA from 1 species
AAUCAACGCUGGCGGCGUGCCUCAGACAUGCAAGUCGAACGAGAAAGUCCCCUUCGGGGAGUGAGUAAAGUGGCGCACGGGUGAGUAACACGUAGGUAAUCUACCUUCGGGUGGGGAAUAACCCAGGGAAACUUGGGCUAACACCGCAUAAUGCAGCGGCACCACAUGGUGACAGUUGUUAAAGCGGGGGAUUUUAGGACCUCGCGCCUGAAGAGGAGCCUGCGGCGGAUUAGCAGUUGGUGAGGUAACGGCUCACCAAGGUGACGAUCCGUAGCCGGCCUGAGGAGGGCGGUCGGCCACACUGACACUGACAUACGGGUCAGACUCCUACGGGAGGCAGCAGUCGGG